GACGAACGCUGGCGGCGUGCCUAAUACAUGCAAGUCGAACGCAGUGGGGACGGGUGAGUAACACGUGGGUAACCUCCCAUCAGAGGGGAUAACACUUGGAAACAGGUGCUAAACCGAUACUGAUGGAUGAACCCGCGGUGCAUUAGCUAGUUGGUGAGGUAACGGCGCACCAAGGCCACGAUGCAUAGCCGACCUGAGAGGGUGUGAGGACACACUGGGACUGAAACACGGCCCAGACUCCUACGAGAGGCAGCAGUAGGGAAGCGGCGGCAAUGGACGAAAGUCUGACCGAGAAACGGCGCGUGAGUGAAGGAGGUUUUCAGAGCGUAAAACUCUGUUGUUAGAGAAGCGGUAUCUAACCAGAAAGCCACGGCUAACUACGUGCCAGCAGCCGCGGUAAUUC
rnacentral:rRNA from 1 species